UACGGGGGGAGCAAGCGUUGUUCGGAUUUACUGGGCGUAAAGGGUGCGUAGGCGGGUCUUUAAGUCAGGGGUGAAAUCCUGGAGCUCAACUCCAGAACUGCCUUUGAUACUGAAGAUCUUGAGUUCGGGAGAGGUGAGUGGAACUGCGAGUGUAGAGGUGAAAUUCGUAGAUAUUCGCAAGAACACCAGUGGCGAAGGCGGCUCACUGGCCCGAUACUGACGCUGAGGCACGAAAGCGUGGGGAGCAAACAGG
rnacentral:rRNA from 1 species